AAGAAUUUACAGUACUUGUAAGUCAUUUUUGACAAUGUCUAUUAUCUCUUCACGUGGAUAUUUUGCUUAUUAAUAUUGCCAAAGUCUUCUCUUUUUCUAUUCGUCUUGCAUCGCUCAAUUGCACUUUGUAUAUUCUUUAUAGAAAGUUUUGCUGUUCACUGUUUUCUAGUUUCAUAAUACUGAUUUAUGAAAUUUAUUAUUUUGUGAAUAAUA
rnacentral:misc_RNA from 1 species